rnacentral:rRNA from 1 species
ACAUUCGAUUAGGUAGUUGGAAGGGUAGAAGCCUCCCAAGCCGAUGAUCGAUAGUCAAGUUUGACAGAACAGAUGACCACAUUGGGAAUGAAAUCUCCCAAGUAGCGUUAUGCUACCAGCAGUCAAGAAUAUUAGUCAAUGCUCGAAAGAGUGAACUAGCUAACUGAAAUCAACGGUGUGUCAUCGUUGAUAACGUAAGGGAGAAAAAAAGAUGUUACCUUACUAUUAGUGUCGUCCAAGUACUCGUGCCAGAAGACUCGGUAAGGCGAGAGACGCAAACGUUAGUCGUCUUGAUCAGGCGUAAAGGGUUUGUAGGCGGCUUUAAGAAUUUAAUUUGUCUAAUUUAUUUUAGAAAAAAAGAAUCAAUUAAAGCUAGAAUCAAGAAGAGGUUAUAUUAUAUAAUACUUAGAGUAAGAUUGGUAUCUUAAAAUACUAAGCGGAAUACUUAGGGCGAAGGCUUUUUUCCAAUAAUGAUUGACGCUGAGAAACUAAGGUGAGGAUAGAAAAAAGGAUUAGAGACCCUCGUAUCCCUCACUGUCAACGAUGAAUGGUAGUCACUAGAAAAUAAUUAAAUAAAAUUAAAAUUAUUUAAAAUAAUAAUUCUAGGGGCAAUGUUAACACGAAACCAUUCCGCCUUGUGAGUACGACUGCAAAGUUGAAAACAAAAAAAUUAGUCGGUUUCGGAGCAAACGAAGUGAAGCAUGUUAUUUAAUACGAUACCCCGCGUAAAAUCUUACCAGUCCUUGCAUAAAACUUUUAAUAUUUAUCUGAUUAUUAAAUUAGUUUAUAUACCUAAAGUAAAAAAUUAGUUAUACUAAAAUUUAAUUUAUUA